rnacentral:rRNA from 1 species
AUUGAACGCUGGCGGCGUGCUUAACACAUGCAAGUCGUGCGGUAACAGGCGUAGCAAUACGUGCUGACGAGCGGCGAACGGGUGCGUAAUACAUGGGAAUCUGCCUUUUAGUGGGGAAUAACCCGGCGAAAGCCGGGCUAAUGCCGCAUAAGAUCUUCGGAUGAAAGCGGGGGAUCGUAAGACCUCGCGCUGAUAGAUGAGCCCAUGCCGGAUUAGCAGUUGGUGAGGUAACGGCUCACCAAGGCGACGAUCCGUAGCUGGUCUGAGAGGACGGCCAGCCACACUGGGACUGAGACACGGCCCAGACUCCUACGGGAGGCAGCAGUGGGGAAUAUUGGACAAUGGGGGAAACCCUGAUCCAGCGACGCCGCGUGUGUGAAGAAGCCUGCGGGUUGUAAAGCAC